AUUGAACGCUGGCGGCGUGCUUAACACAUGCAAGUCGAUCGGUAACAGGUGUAGCAAUACAUGCUGACGAGAGGCGGACGGGUGAGGAACGCUUGGGAAUCUGCCUAUCAGCGGGGGACAACCCGGGGAAACUCGGGCUAAUACCGCAUACGCUCUACGGCGGAAAGCCGGGGACCGCAAGGCCUGGCACUGAUAGAUGAGCCCAAGUCGGAUUAGCUAGUUGGCGGGGUAACGGCCCACCAAGGCGACGAUCCGUAGCUGGUCUGAGAGGACGAUCAGCCACACCGGAACUGAGACACGGUCCGGACUCCUACGGGAGGCAGCAGUGGGGAAUAUUGGACAAUGGGGGAAACCCUGAUCCAGCGACGCCGCGUGGGUGAAGAAGGCCUGCGGGUUGUAAAGCCCUUUCGGUAGGGAAGAAAUCUCUUGCUCUAACAAAGCAGGAGUUUGACUUAACCUACAUAAGAAGCACCGGCUAACUCUGUGCCAGCCGCCGCUGUAA
rnacentral:rRNA from 1 species